AGUGAACGCUGGCGAUAGGCCUAACACAUGCAAGUCGAACGGCAGCACAGUAAGAGCUUGCUCUUACGGGUGGCGAGUGGCGGGCGGGUGAGGAAUACAUCGGAAUCUACUUUUUCGUGGGGGAUAACGUAGGGAAACUUACGCUAAUACCGCAUACGACCUACGGGUGAAAGCAGGGGAUCUUCGGACCUUGCGCGAUUGAAUGAGCCGAUGUCGGAUUAGCUAGUUGGCGGGGUAAAGGCCCACCAAGGCGACGAUCCGUAGCUGGUCUGAGAGGAUGAUCAGCCACACUGGAACUGGGACACGGUCCAGGCUCCUGCGGGAGGCAGCAGUGGGGAAUAUUGGACAAUGGGCGCAAGCCUGAUCCAGCCAUACCGCGUGGGUGAAGAAGGCCUUCGGGUUGUAAAGCCCUUUUGUUGGGAAAGAAAAGCAGCAGGUUAAUACCCCGCUGUUCUGACGGUACCCAAAGAAUAAGCACCGGCUAACUUCGUG
rnacentral:rRNA from 1 species